UACGUAGGGUGCAAGCGUUGUCCGGAAUUACUGGGCGUAAAGAGUUCGUAGGCGGUUUGUCGCGUCGUUUGCGAAAACCAGCAGCUCAACUGCGUGGCUGCAGGCGAUACGGGCAGACUUGAGUACUGCAGGGGAGACUGGAAUUCCUGGUGUAGCGGUGGAAUGCGCAGAUAUCAGGAGGAACACCGGUGGCGAAGGCGGGUCUCUGGGCAGUAACUGACGCUGAGGAGCGAAAGCGUGGGGAGCGAACAGG
rnacentral:rRNA from 1 species